rnacentral:rRNA from 1 species
UUUACCCGAAGGUGGUGCGCUAACCAGCAAUGGAGGCAGCCAACCACGGUAGGGUCAGCGACUGGGGUGAAGUCGUAACAAGGUCUUUGUAGGUGAACCUGCAGAAGGAUCA